rnacentral:rRNA from 1 species
GAUGAACGCUGGCGGCAUGCCUUACACAUGCAAGUCGAACGGCAGCACGGGAGCAAUCCUGGUGGCGAGUGGCGAACGGGUGAGUAAUAUAUCGGAACGUGCCCAGUCGUGGGGGAUAACGCAGCGAAAGCUGUGCUAAUACCGCAUACGAUCUAAGGAUGAAAGCGGGGGAUCGCAAGACCUCGCGCGAUUGGAGCGGCCGAUAUCGGAUUAGCUAGUUGGUGGGGUAAAGGCCCACCAAGGCGACGAUCUGUAGCUGGUCUGAGAGGACGACCAGCCACACUGGAACUGAGACACGGUCCAGACUCCUACGGGAGGCAGCAGUGGGGAAUUUUGGACAAUGGGCGCAAGCCUGAUCCAGCAAUGCCGCGUGCAGGAUGAAGGCCUUCGGGUUGUAAACUGCUUUUGUACGGAACGAAACGGCCCUUUCUAAUACAGGGGGCUAAUGACGGUACCGUAAGAAUAAGCACCGGCUAACUACGUGCCAGCCGCCGCCGUAA